rnacentral:lncRNA from 1 species
CCAGGGGUCGGGCACCCUCACAGGCUCAGGGCAGUGCCCACAGGGAGCGUGGCCAGCGCCAGAGGCACGGACCGCCGCCCAUGCCCAGCUGCCGGGCUUCCCGGGCGACUCCUGUGGUGGCGGAGCGAUUUCUCUGCAGCCUACAUUCUGCCCCCUCAGGAAACUGACGGUGGAUCCAUCAGGGUCUUGGCUGGCUUGGCAAAGAGAGAGGAAGGAAAGAGGGGCCCAAAGCCAACUGCCCAGGGCCCCUCUGGGGGCCUGGGGGCCUGGGGUGCCCUCUGACCUGAGCCUGGCCCCCAGCUUCACAGUCAGCAGGUGCCCUGCGGCUGCAGGGAGCUCACUCUGCCCGUUUCCUGUUGCACACAUUGCUUUUAAGAUUCCUGAGCUGAGGGCGGUCUUCUCUGCCAGGGUGUUGUGUUGGCCUUGGGGUCACAUCGUUCCACGUUGGACACAGUGGUCCUCAAGUGACCCUGUGCUCACGGGGACAAAUGUAACUGGUGUGAGGAAUAAGUGAAACAAGUAUAAGAAAAGACUUGGAAAAUCCACUAAUUUUUUUUCCUUCCGAAUAUAAGAAACACUGAAAAGAAGAGGUCUUUGUGCGAGGCAGUUCUCCCCCUUGUCAUUUCUCUGGCUUGUCUGAGUGUGGGAGUGGAAUGGAUCUGUACAAAGCAGAGGACGAAUUGGCUUCUUUAACCAGAACCAGAGGCAGCGCACCUGGCCGGGCGCCCGAAGCAUCACCAGGCUCCUGUGAAAGGCCUGCCCCUCCGGAUUUCCAGCAAGUUCAUCGCCGUGACGUGGAGACUGCACUGGCCACUGGCCCUGCUUGCUGUCCACCCAGCUCGGUGCUGGGUCGGCAGGACCGCCUUGUGUACCGGAGAGUAGCUCAGGACGGCUCUGCCAGCCGUCCAGACGAACGAGGCGCAUCGCGUUCUCUUCCCAACUGGACACAGAGGAGGGGAGGGAAGUGUUUGUGGCAGAGAGAAGUGCUCCGAGGCUCCCUGACCUGCAAAGCUCCCGAAGAGCGAAGAGUGCAAGCUGUCUGCUAGGUGCUGCCAGGAGGUUGGGUCUGCAUUUCGAGUGAGUCAUCUGAAAUUCAGGACUUCCCUGUAAAUGUUUUAUAAUUCAUUUCAUUAAAUAGCUUUUUCCUUGCAUUAAAGGCAUUUACAUCACAUGCAGUGGGAGCAGCAGAGAGCAUGUAGGAUACAGGGACGUGCUCUGUGGGGUUCGAGUGACCUUUCAAGAGACAGUGCAG